rnacentral:rRNA from 1 species
UACGUAGGUGGCAAGCGUUAUCCGGAAUUAUUGGGCGUAAAGAGCGCGCAGGUGGUUAAUUAAGUCUGAUGUGAAAGCCCACGGCUUAACCGUGGAGGGUCAUUGGAAACUGGUUGACUUGAGUGCAGAAGAGGGAAGUGGAAUUCCAUGUGUAGCGGUGAAAUGCGUAGAGAUAUGGAGGAACACCAGUGGCGAGGGCGGCUUCCUGGUCUGCAACUGACACUGAGGCGCGAAAGCGUGGGGAGCAAACAGG